rnacentral:rRNA from 1 species
ACAAGCAGUGGGAGCACCCUUUUGGGUGUGACUGCGUACCUUUUGUAUAAUGGGUCAGCGACUUAUAUUCUGUAGCAAGGUUAACCGAAUAGGGGAGCCGAAGGGAAACCGAGUCUUAACUGGGCGUUAAGUUGCAGGGUAUAGACCCGAAACCCGGUGAUCUAGCCAUGGGCAGGUUGAAGGUUGGGUAACACUAACUGGAGGACCGAACCGACUAAUGUUGAAAAAUUAGCGGAUGACUUGUGGCUGGGGGUGAAAGGCCAAUCAAACCGGGAGAUAGCUGGUUCUCCCCGAAAGCUAUUUAGGUAGCGCCUCGUGAAUUCAUCUCCGGGGGUAGAGCACUGUUUCGGCAAGGGGGUCAUCCCGACUUACCAACCCGAUGCAAACUGCGAAUACCGGAGAAUGUUAUCACGGGAGACACACGGCGGGUGCUAACGUCCGUCGUGAAGAGGGAAACAACCCAGACCGCCAGCUAAGGUCCCAAAGUCAUGGUUAAGUGGGAAACGAUGUGGGAAGGCCCAGACAGCCAGGAUGUUGGCUUAGAAGCAGCCAUCAUUUAAAGAAAGCGUAAUAGCUCACUGGUCGAGUCGGCCUGCGCGGAAGAUGUAACGGGGCUAAACCAUG